GCACCACCAUACCCACCCUGUAAACAUUGGAUUUCAUUUGAUUUUAGAAGAUAAGCAGGGUCUGGAUUGGUUAGUAAGUGGAUGGGAGGCCAAGAAAUGGUAGAAAUCUUCAGGUUCC
rnacentral:rRNA from 1 species